GAAGCAAAGAAUGAUGAUUCAAUUAGUUGUGUGAAAGGAUUAAUCCUAUCUGAACUCAACACACUUGAGGCAUUUGAUACAUCUGACAUUUUGAUUC